GGGUGUCCGUGCAUGCGAAAAAGAGAAAGAAGAUCCUUUUUAGGGCGUGAGAUCCAAGGUGGGGUUUCUAGGGUUUCCUAGUUCCUAUUUUAUGAGAGAGAAAACAAAAAUUAUUUUGUUCUUCUUCUUCCAUGUUAUCUUCUCCUUGAAAAACUCUUUUUUUUUAAUCUGGAGGUAUCCAUUUGAUCUGAAGAAAAGAGUCUCUAUCAGCCAUCCAGAUCCUUCAUCAUGAGCUAGCACUUUUGGGAAGGACGAUCUGUUCGGCACUUCGAGUGGAUCACCUGUAGAGGUCAGACGUG
rnacentral:lncRNA from 1 species